rnacentral:tRNA from 1 species
GGGGAUGUAGUUCAAAGGUAGAACUGCCGGCUCCAGACCGGCUGAUGGGAGUUCGAUUCUCUCCGUCCCCA